rnacentral:rRNA from 1 species
AUUGAACGCUGGCGGCAUGCCUUACACAUGCAAGUCGAACGGUAACAGGUCUUCGGAUGCUAACGAGUGGCGAACGGGUGAGUAAUACAUCGGAACGUACCCGAUCGUGGGGGAUAACGAAGCGAAAGCUUUGCUAAUACCGCAUAAGAUCUACGGAUGAAAGCAGGGGACCGCAAGGCCUUGCGCGGACGGAGCGGCCGAUGGCAGAUUAGGUAGUUGGUGGGAUAAAAGCUUACCAAGCCGACGAUCUGUAGCUGGUCUGAGAGGACGACCAGCCACACUGGGACUGAGACACGGCCCAGACUCCUACGGGAGGCAGCAGUGGGGAAUUUUGGACAAUGGGCGAAAGCCUGAUCCAGCCAUGCCGCGUGCAGGAUGAAGGCCUUCGGGUUGUAAACUGCUUUUGUACGGAACGAAAAGACUCUUUCUAAUAAAGAGGGUCCAUGACGGUACCGUAAGAAUAAGCACCGGCUAACUACGUGCCAGCAGCCGCAGUAA